rnacentral:rRNA from 1 species
AGAGUUUGAUCCUGGCUCAGGAUGAACGCUGGCGGCGUGCUUAACACAUGCAAGUCGAACGAAACACUUUAUUUGAUUUCCUUCGGGAAUGAUUAUUUUGUGACUGAGUGGAGGACGGAUGAGUAACGGGUGGGUAACCCGCCUUGUACAGGGGGAUAACAGUCGAAACGGCUGCUAAUACCGCAUAAGCGCACGGCAUCGCAUGAUUCAGUGUGAAAAACUCCGGUGGUAUAAGAUGGACCCGCGUUGGAUUAGCUAGUUGGUGAGGUAACGGCCCACCAAGGCAACGAUCCAUAGCCGACCUGAGAGGGUGACCGGCCACAUUGGGACUGAGACACGGCCCAAACUCCUACGGGAGGCAGCAGUGGGGAAUAUUGCACAAUGGGCGAAAGCCUGAUGCAGCGACGCCGCGUGAGCGAAGAAGUAUUUCGGUAUGUAAAGCUCUAUCAGCAGGGAAGAUAAUGACGGUACCUGACUAAGAAGCACCGGCUAAAUACGUGCCAGCAGCCGCGGUAAUACGUAUGGUGCAAGCGUUAUCCGGAUUUACUGGGUGUAAAGGGAGCGCAGGCGGUGCGGCAAGUCUGAUGUGAAAGCCCGGGGCUCAACCCCGGUACUGCAUUGGAAACUGUCGUACUAGAGUGUCGGAGGGGUAAGCGGAAUUCCUAGUGUAGCGGUGAAAUGCGUAGAUAUUAGGAGGAACACCAGUGGCGAAGGCGGCUUACUGGACGAUAACUGACGCUGAGGCUCGAAAGCGUGGGGAGCAAACAGGAUUAGAUACCCUGGUAGUCCACGCCGUAAACG